rnacentral:rRNA from 1 species
AUUGAACGCUGGCGGCAGGCCUAACACAUGCAAGUCGCACGAGUGGCGGACGGGUGAGUAAUGUCUGGUAAACUGCCUGAUGGAGGGGGAUAACUACUGGAAACGGUAGCUAAUACCGCAUACCAUAAGAUGUGCCCAGAUGGGAUUAGCUAGUUGGUGGUGUAACGGCUCACCAAGGCGCCGAUCCCUAGCUGGUCUGAGAGGAUGACCAGCAAAACUGGAACUGAGACAAGGUCCAGACUACUACGGGAGGCAGCAGUGGGGAAUAUUGCACAAUGGGCGCAAGCCUGAUGCAGCCAUGCCGCGUGUAGGAAGAAGGCCUUCGGGGUGUAAAGUACGUUCAGCGGGGAGGCGUUACCCGCAGAAGAAGCACCGGCUAACUCCGUGCCAGCAGCCGCGGUAAUUC